ensembl:scaRNA
GUGGUUGAUCAGUGUAAUCUGCAGUACUGAAUACGUGUGCUGUUGUCCAUGACGCCACAGAGAAUGUUACUGGUGCUCACCGACAGGACCUAACAAGUUAUUGGGAUCCCUGUGCGAUGGUUCCAUACAAA